rnacentral:misc_RNA from 1 species
UCCGUGUUGACCACGGCGGUCUCCUACGAGUCCUCGCCAUUACGCGUUAGCAACAUAGGACAAGGGUUGCGCUCGUUGCGGGACUUAACCCAACAUCUCACGACACGAGCUGACGACAGCCAUGCACCACCUAUCGCAGACCCCGAAGGACACCAUAUCUCUAUGGCUUUUCCUGCGUAGUUCAAUCCAGGUAAGGUUCUUCGCGUUGCAUCGAAUUAAGCAACAUGCUCCGCUGCUUGUGCGGGUCCCCGUCAAUUCCUUUGAGUUUUAGUCUUGCGACCGUACUCCCCAGGCGGGGUACUUAAUGCGUUAGCGCCGGCACGGAAGAUGUUGGUUAUCUCCCACACCUAGUACCCACCGUUUACGGCGUGGACUAC